rnacentral:siRNA from 1 species
GAACGUUCCUCCCGAGAUACUGC